rnacentral:rRNA from 1 species
UACGUAGGGGGCGAGCGUUGUCCGGAUUUAUUGGGCGUAAAGCGCUCGCAGGCGGUCCGAUGCGUCGUGCGUGAAAGCCCCCGGCUCAACUGGGGAGGGUCGUGCGAUACGGUCGGACUCGAGGCCAGUAGGGGGAUGCGGAAUUCCGGGUGUAGUGGUGGAAUGCGUAGAGAUCCGGAGGAACACCAGCGGCGAAGGCGGCAUCCUGGACUGGUCCUGACACUCAUGAGCGAAAGCGUGGGGAGCGAUCCGG